rnacentral:rRNA from 1 species
AAUGAACGUUGGCGGCGUGGAUUAGGCAUGCAAGUCGUGCGAGAACCGUAGCAAUACGGGGACAGCGGCGAAAGGGAGAGUAACGUGUGGAUACCUACCCCCAGGACCAGGAUAGCCGCGGGAAACUGCGGGUAAUACUGGAUAAUGUCUCCGGACCAAAGGUGUGAUUCCGCCCGGGGAUGGGUCCGCGUCCUAUUAGCUAGUUGGUAGGGUAAUGGCCUACCAAGGCAAAGAUGGGUAUGGGGUGUGAGAGCAUGCCCCCACUCACUGGGACUGAGACACUGCCCAGACACCUACGGGUGGCUGCAGUCGAGGAUCUUCGGCAAUGGGCGCAAGCCUGACCGAGCGACGCCGCGUGCGGGAUGAAGGCCUUCGGGUUGUAAACCGCUGUCAGAGGGGAGGAAAUGCCGUGGGGUUCUCUCCACGGUUUGACCUAUCCUCAGAGGAAGGACGGGCUAAGUUCGUGCCAGCCGCCGCAGUAAAAC